CCUACGGUGUGCAGCAGUGGGGAAUAUUGCGCAAUGGACGAAAGUCUGACGCAGCGACGCCGCGUGAGGGAUGAAGUUUUUCGGAUCGUAAACCUCUGUCAGGAGGGAAGAAAGCGCAUGGCGCCAAUCAGCCAUGCGUUGACGGUACCUCCAAAGGAAGCGCCGUCUCACUCCGUUCCCGCAGCCGCGGUAAUACGGAGGGCGCCGGAGUUAAUUGGAAUUACUGGGCGUAAAGCUCGGGUAGGCUGUUGUGUAAGUUGGGGGUGAAAUCCCACGGCUCAACCGUGGAACAGCCCUUGAUACUGCGCGACUUGAAUCCGGGAGAGGGUGGCGGAAUUCCAGGUGUAGGAGUGAAAUCCGUAGAUAUCUGGAGGAACAUCAGUGGCGAAGGCGGCCACCUGGACCGGUAUUGACGCUGAGGCGCGAAAGCGUGGGGAGCAAACAGGAUUAGAUACCCCGGUAGUC
rnacentral:rRNA from 1 species